CCCUUAGAUGUUCUGGGCCGCACGCGCGCUACACUGAUGCAUUCAACGAGUCUAAAACCUGCUCUGAUAGGGGUGGGUAAUCUUUUGAAUGUGCAUCGUGAUUGGGAUAGAUGAUUGCAAUUUUUCAUCUUCAACGAGGAAUGCCUAGUAAACGCAAGUCAUCAGCUUGCAUUGAUUACGUCCCUGCCCUUUGUACACACCGCCCGUCGCUGCUACCGAUGGAUGGUCCGGUGAAAUCUUUGGAUUGGAAAGAAUAAGUAGCUCUUGUGGUUACUUCUUUUUGAAAAAUUGAUUAAACCUUAUCAUCUAGAGGAAGCAAAAGUCGUAACA
rnacentral:rRNA from 1 species